GAUGAACGCUGGCGGCGUGCCUAAUACAUGCAAGUCGAACGAAACUUCUUUAUCACCGAGUGCUUGCGCUCACCGAUAAAGAGUUGAGUGGCGAACGGGUGAGUAACACGUGGGCAACCUGCCCAAAAGAGGGGGAUAACACUUGGAAACAGGUGCUAAUACCGCAUAACCAUAGUUACCGCAUGGUAACUAUGUAAAAGGUGGCUAUACUACCGCUUUUGGAUGGGCCCGCGGCGCAUUAGCUAGUUGGUAGGGUAAAGGCUUACCAAGGCAAUGAUGCGUAGCCGAAUUGAGAGGUUGAUCGGCCACAUUGGGACUGAGACACGGCCCAAACUCCUACGGGAGGCAGCAGUAGGGAAUCUUCCACAAUGGGCGAAAGCCUGAUGGAGCAACGCCGCGUGGGUGAAGAAGGUCUUCGGAUCGUAAAACCCUGUUGUUAGAGAAGAAAGUUCGUGAGAGUAACUGUUCACGUUUCGACGGUAUCUAACCAGAAAGCCACGGCUAACUACGUG
rnacentral:rRNA from 1 species